GACUUCCUUCCCAAGUUGUCGGACGCUCUGGAAGUUUCCGGCGACCUCCAGCCGCCGUUUCACACUCCUUUUGAUCAUGAAGAGCUGCAAGACUGAUCCUAACAUCGAGGAGUUAGUUGUAACAAUGAGGGAGUGUGGAGUCUUGAAAUGCACCAGUGUAUUAAGGAAAAUCUAAAAAUGCUGGAGAAACUCAGCAACUGUGGAGAGACACUUUUUAAUUGAGCUUUAAAGUUUAACUCUUUCUUUCUUCACGGAUGCUGCCUACCUUCUACUUCGGGCAGCAAGGUGGCUCAGUGGUUACCUGGUAAAAGAGAUACCAUGAUCCCAGAAUAUAAUUCUCCCAGGAGGAGUCUAAGCUGAGAACUUUCAUCAUCAGAAGAUCGAGAUCAUUGCUGGAUUGCAGUUGUGAUUAGAACUUGGAGGAUUGUCAGUUGAGCUGAGCUGCAGUUGGUGCAUCUUGAUGCUGGCUUUGGCAGUGACCAGUCAACCAAAGCUAUGGCCUCUGCUAGUGCCCACAACCCAGGCCAGGGGGUCUGAAAUACAAUCAGGGUGACUGCAAAGGUGGUGGAGGACAGAUUGCCUGUCGACCGGACCUUUCUCCGUGAAGAGAGUCCUCCUGGAUUACUGCAGGUUCAUAGAAAACACAUUUCCCAUCUGCAGGAUUUCCCCACUAGGAGCUACUUCAAUGCAGCCUUCAGAAGCGUGAAGUAUGUGUAAAGCCUCUCCUCAAGGUAUUUGAGAAGAAAGGAGAUGAAGAUCCCCUCAAUGGCACCAUUGUUUGUUCUCCCUGCAAGGAGGAGUCAGGUUGUUAUAAUCCAUAUAUACAACCCCCAUGUUCUGGCAGCAGAUGCCCUGACCACUUGGGAAGAUACAUACAUCUAGGAGGCAUCUCUAACAUAGUGGAGGUCCAAGAGCUGCAAUCUGUGAGGGGUAUGUGUACAAGGCCUGCUCGAGAGGGGGAGUGGUUGGGGGGUGGGGGGUGGGGUUGGGGGUGGUUGGGGAGCGGAGCGGAGCGGGGGCUGGUGCCACACACGCUCAAUGGCUGGAAGUGGCAACGAGCACUCUGGACCCGCAAAAGGACAGUAAGGUGCUACCUUCCAGCAAGAAAACUGAAACAAGGGGCAUCUAGAAGGAGGGAUAGGACAGAGAAGAGGAAAAGGUAGCCAGCAUGGAUCCUGGAAUCAAUGGAGAAGAAGGAAACAAAAGGGAAGGGGAGUGGAUACCAGUGUGAAACAACUGGAAAAGGAAGACACAUUUCCCCACCUCUCCAGUUUCACAGCAAAACAGAAAGAGGCAGCUGCAUGUUGGACACACCAGCAGCUCCUCUGAUGAUGAAAAUGUGUGGAGAGAUAGCCACUAACAGAAAAAAAAAGAGACACAGCACCAUGGGAGAGGAAGAGAGAGCACUCCCCCAAUCUCGAAACACCAUACAUCAUGAGAGGCUCGGUGAAGCCCAAUCUCCAGCCAUCAGGAACAAAGGGGUACCACAGUUCUUGGCAACUGUGAGCCACGAUGCUCUGUGUCAGGAGUGGAGCCAGACAGACCCUCUAUCGAACUCCAAUUCAGACUUUCCUGGCCUUAUUCUUGCCCUGACAACACUGGAUCAGGGCAAUCUUCCCUGGGAGGAACAGGAUGGCUAGCUCUGUGCCGAGAGCGUCCACGCCACGGUGAUGCAGGGACCGCCAGUGACAAAUCCAUGGGUGAAUGGACAUUGGGUCCAAGGCUAAUUCUAUAAACUCUCAAAAUGGAUUUUAAAAUGACCAGUUUUGACAUGUGUAGCAUUAAAUCUACUAUGCGAUGUGUUUCCACGUUGGCUUGCCUAGCCAACACCAAAGCGGACCUCCUGUUUCUGCAGGACUGCAGGAUACCACACUUCAGCGUUUCAUUUGGAGGUCUAAGAUGGACUGUGUCCACAGGAACACAAUGUACAAAAUUUUGGUAGAGAGGAACAUACCCAACGCUGCCCUCAUUCUGAUGGCACCUUUGUGUGUGGCUGCAUCAAGAUAUACGUAGACUGUCAGAACACAAACACUAAGUGUCACUUUGUAUCGAAGUUCUACCUGUCCCCAUUAGUUGGACCAUUCCAAAUCACUCUCCUUUGUGGAGAAAUUCGCAAAGAGAAGCAUCUUUGACUACAAGUUCAUCAGGAAUAUGUCAGUAUGUAGCGUCCUCACAACCCUGUAGGAAAAGGAAAGAGUGGAUCCUGUCAGUUUGUUUCCUGAGCAGACUGUCAAAGCAGCUGCAGGGGUUUAGAGACUGUCACAUACCUUCUGCUGGAAUGUUGCAAAGGAAGUUUUGUGAAAGAUACAAUGUUUUUUGUCGAGGUUUGUCCCGAGUAGUUCCAUGACACAGGACUCUGCUCAACGGUCUGUUCUCCAGGAUGCACACUAAGAUAAAUAUCGACUGUGCCUGAAGGACAUCGACUUGGUGAAAGAUGCUCGUUGGUCUUCCAGAGCAAGGAGUUGACCCCAACCGAGUGUUGCAGACUGGCACAUUCCAAGGUUCAAAACUAUGUGCUGAGGCCUGUACUACAGCGUGGGGCAGCUGCCACCAAGGUGCAGUGGGGAAAGACAGUUCAAUGAUGCUUCAAAUAUAUAUAAACUUAAUCUGUAUUUCUGUACAAAACCAAACUGCUUCAGUGACUAUGUAUGUGUAUAAAGAUGUUUUUGUUGAAUAAAGUAUAUUUUUGAUAUUAGUAAAAA